rnacentral:rRNA from 1 species
UACAGAGGUGGCAAGCGUUGUUCGGAAUUACUGGGCGUAAAGGGCGCGUAGGCGGCCUUCUAAGUCGGACGUGAAAGCCCCCAGGCUUAACCUGGGAACUGCGUCCGAUACUGGGAGGCUUGGAUUCGGGAGAGGGAUGUGGAAUUCCAGGUGUAGCGGUGAAAUGCGUAGAUAUCUGGAGGAACACCGGUGGCGAAGGCGGCAUCCUGGACCGAGAUCGACGCUGAGGCGCGAAAGCUAGGGGAGCAAACAGG